rnacentral:tRNA from 1 species
GGGUGAUUAGCUCAGCUGGGAGAGCACCUCCCUUACAAGGAGGAGUUGGUAGAGCAGUUGACUUUUAAUCAAUUGGUCGCAGGUUCGAAUCCUGCACGACCCACCA